CAGAGGGGGCGAGCGUUGUUCGGAAUUACUGGGCGUAAAGGGCGCGUAGGCGGCCCGCUAAGUCGAACGUGAAAUCCCCAGGCUCAACCUGGGAACUGCGUCCGAUACUGGCAGGCUUGAAUCCGGGAGAGGGAUGUGGAAUUCCAGGUGUAGCGGUGAAAUGCGUAGAUAUCUGGAGGAACACCGGUGGCGAAGGCGGCAUCCUGGACCGGUAUUGACGCUGAGGCGCGAAAGCUAGGGGAGCAAACGGGAUUAGAUACCCCGGUAGUCCUAGCCCUAAACGAUGAAUGCUUGGUGUGGCGGGUAUCGAUCCCUGCCGUGCCGAAGCUAACGCAUUAAGCAUUCCGCCUGGGGAGUACGGUCGCAAGGCUG
rnacentral:rRNA from 1 species